UUCGUCCAGGGGGCCGCCUUCGCCACCGGUAUUCCUCCAGAUCUCUACGCAUUUCACCGCUACACCUGGAAUUCUACCCCCCUCUACGAGACUCAAGCUUGCCAGUAUCAGAUGCAGUUCCCAGGUUGAGCCCGGGGAUUUCACAUCUGACUUAACAAACCGCCUGCGUGCGCUUUACGCCCAGUAAUUCCGAUUAACGCUUGCACCCUCCGUAUUACCGCGGCUGCUGGCACGGAGUUAGCCGGUGCUUCUUCUGCGGGUAACGUCAAUGAGCAAAGGUAUUAACUUUACUCCCUUCCUCCCCGCUGAAAGUACUUUACAACCCGAAGGCCUUCUUCAUACACGCGGCAUGGCUGCAUCAGGCUUGCGCCCAUUGUGCAAUAUUCCCCACUGCUGCCUCCCGUAGGAGUCUGGACCGUGUCUCAGUUCCAGUGUGGCUGGUCAUCCUCUCAGACCAGCUAGGGAUCGUCGCCUAGGUGAGCCGUUACCCCACCAACUAGCUAAUCCCAUCUGGGCACAUCCGAUGGCAAGAGGCCCGAAGGUCCCCCUCUUUGGUCUUGCGACGUUAUGCGGUAUUAGCUACCGUUUCCAGUAGUUAUCCCCCUCCAUCAGGCAGUUUCCCAGACAUUACUCACCCGUCCGCCACUCGUCAGCGAAGCAGCAAGCUGCUUCCUGUUACCGUUCGACUUGCAUGUGUUA
rnacentral:rRNA from 1 species